CCCCUUUCCGAAAGACUAUUCUUCACCUAUAUUUAAGGGGUUGGUUUACCAACUAUGGUAAUAAAUAGACGGUGAAAUAAACCUAUUGGACCCGGGGGCGGUACCCGGCGCCUCCACCAAAAUAUAAUUCUUAUCGAUUAUAUUUUGGUGGGGGCGAAACAGGAUCGACAAAGGCGUAAAGAUCGCUCUUUUACUCGGCAUUGUACCACCGUUAUCGGGCUAAAUGAGUAGUUGCAAAUGACAACUAUGCGGAAGCGCGUCUCGCCGCUUAGGCGAUAUGUAUGCUUCAAAUUAAGUCUUAAACCAUCGCAGGUUUAAGCGGGGUUCGAAGGCACCUGGCAACAGAAGCCUUCACU
rnacentral:tmRNA from 1 species